CAGUAGGACAGUUGCUGACUGGUAACCUGGCUCUCUUCCUCUGAAGGAACCUGCAGGCAGGAGAGAGGUGUGAGGAUUGGACUAUGAUUGCCCAAGAGGAGUGAACGAGCUUUCAGGCCAAAGGAUUUAUUUUAUGGCACAUAAGGAUAAAAGAUCUGCACUGAAGAUUUUGGAAGAUGGACAAAUCCUUUAAAGGGCAGUACCAGGUGACAGCUGGACUGCAGGGACAUUGCAAGAAAAGCAUCUACAUCGACAGAAAUUCCAUGAUGGUGAUCUGGAGUUCACCAAAACCACUAGGAGUUUGCAGAAGAUUUUCCUUGGACUAUAUGUCUCCACUGCAUUUCUGUGUGGAUUGAUUCUCUGGUCUUCAGAAACUGGGGAGCAGGAAACAAGAAUCACACUGACCUGCUACAAUGAAUAUUAUUCUUCAUGUCGCCUUCAGCCCCUUAAUAUAACCUUGCUAUUCUAGAGAUUACUUUCACCAACAUUUCAAGUAUGUA